rnacentral:rRNA from 1 species
GCAUGAGUUAUGUCAUGUUAUCGAUAUGUGAAUACAUAGCAUAUCAGAAGGCACACCCGGAGAACUGAAACAUCUUAGUACCCGGAGGAAGAGAAAGAAAAUUCGAUUCCCUUAGUAGCGGCGAGCGAAACGGGAAGAGCCCAAACCAACAAGCUUGCUUGUUGGGGUUGUAGGACACUCUAUACGGAGUUACAAAGGACGACAUUAGACGAAUCAUCUGGAAAGAUGAAUCAAAGAAGGUAAUAAUCCUGUAGUCGAAAAUGUUGUCUCUCUUGAGUGGAUCCUGAGUACGACGGAGCACGUGAAAUUCCGUCGGAAUCUGGGAGGACCAUCUCCUAAGGCUAAAUACUCUCUAGUGACCGAUAGUGAACCAGUACCGUGAGGGAAAGGUGAAAAGCACCCCGGAAGGGGAGUGAAAUAGAACCUGAAACCGUGUGCUUACAAGUAGUCAGAGCCCGUUAAUGGGUGAUGGCGUGCCUUUUGUAGAAUGAACCGGCGAGUUACGAUUUGAUGCAAGGUUAAGCAGUAAAUGUGGAGCCGUAGCGAAAGCGAGUCUGAAUAGGGCGUUUAGUAUUUGGUCGUAGACCCGAAACCAGGUGAUCUACCCUUGGUCAGGUUGAAGUUCAGGUAACACUGAAUGGAGGACCGAACCGACUUACGUUGAAAAGUGAGCGGAUGAACUGAGGGUAGCGGAGAAAUUCCAAUCGAACCUGGAGAUAGCUGGUUCUCUCCGAAAUAGCUUUAGGGCUAGCCUCAAGUGAUGAUUAUUGGAGGUAGAGCACUGUUUGGACGAGGGGCCCCUCUCGGGUUACCGAAUUCAGACAAACUCCGAAUGCCAAUUAAUUUAACUUGGGAGUCAGAACAUGGGUGAUAAGGUCCGUGUUCGAAAGGGAAACAGCCCAGACCACCAGCUAAGGUCCCAAAAUAUAUGUUAAGUGGAAAAGGAUGUGGCGUUGCCCAGACAACUAGGAUGUUGGCUUAGAAGCAGCCAUCAUUUAAAGAGUGCGUAAUAGCUCACUAGUCGAGUGACACUGCGCCGAAAAUGUACCGGGGCUAAACAUAUUACCGAAGCUGUGGAUUGUCCUUUGGACAAUGGUAGGAGAGCGUUCUAAGGGCGUUGAAGCAUGAUCGCAAGGACAUGUGGAGCGCUUAGAAGUGAGAAUGCCGGUGUGAGUAGCGAAAGACGGGUGAGAAUCCCGUCCACCGAUUGACUAAGGUUUCCAGAGGAAGGCUCGUCCGCUCUGGGUUAGUCGGGUCCUAAGCUGAGGCCGACAGGCGUAGGCGAUGGAUAACAGGUUGAUAUUCCUGUACCACCUAUAAUCGUUUUAAUCGAUGGGGGGACGCAGUAGGAUAGGCGAAGCGUGCGAUUGGAUUGCACGUCUAAGCAGUAAGGCUGAGUAUUAGGCAAAUCCGGUACUCGUUAAGGCUGAGCUGUGAUGGGGAGAAGACAUUGUGUCUUCGAGUCGUUGAUUUCACACUGCCGAGAAAAGCCUCUAGAUAGAAAAUAGGUGCCCGUACCGCAAACCGACACAGGUAGUCAAGAUGAGAAUUCUAAGGUGAGCGAGCGAACUCUCGUUAAGGAACUCGGCAAAAUGACCCCGUAACUUCGGGAGAAGGGGUGCUCUUUAGGGUUAACGCCCAGAAGAGCCGCAGUGAAUAGGCCCAAGCGACUGUUUAUCAAAAACACAGGUCUCUGCUAAACCGUAAGGUGAUGUAUAGGGGCUGACGCCUGCCCGGUGCUGGAAGGUUAAGAGGAGUGGUUAGCUUCUGCGAAGCUACGAAUCGAAGCCCCAGUAAACGGCGGCCGUAACUAUAACGGUCCUAAGGUAGCGAAAUUCCUUGUCGGGUAAGUUCCGACCCGCACGAAAGGCGUAACGAUUUGGGCACUGUCUCAACGAGAGACUCGGUGAAAUCAUAGUACCUGUGAAGAUGCAGGUUACCCGCGACAGGACGGAAAGACCCCGUGGAGCUUUACUGUAGCCUGAUAUUGAAAUUCGGCACAGCUUGUACAGGAUAGGUAGGAGCCUUUGAAACGUGAGCGCUAGCUUACGUGGAGGCGCUGGUGGGAUACUACCCUAGCUGUGUUGGCUUUCUAACCCGCACCACUUAUCGUGGUGGGAGACAGUGUCAGGCGGGCAGUUUGACUGGGGCGGUCGCCUCCUAAAAGGUAACGGAGGCGCUCAAAGGUUCCCUCAGAAUGGUUGGAAAUCAUUCAUAGAGUGUAAAGGCAUAAGGGAGCUUGACUGCGAGACCUACAAGUCGAGCAGGGUCGAAAGACGGACUUAGUGAUCCGGUGGUUCCGCAUGGAAGGGCCAUCGCUCAACGGAUAAAAGCUACCCCGGGGAUAACAGGCUUAUCUCCCCCAAGAGUUCACAUCGACGGGGAGGUUUGGCACCUCGAUGUCGGCUCAUCGCAUCCUGGGGCUGUAGUCGGUCCCAAGGGUUGGGCUGUUCGCCCAUUAAAGCGGUACGCGAGCUGGGUUCAGAACGUCGUGAGACAGUUCGGUCCCUAUCCGUCGUGGGCGUAGGAAAUUUGAGAGGAGCUGUCCUUAGUACGAGAGGACCGGGAUGGACAUACCUCUGGUGUACCAGUUGUCGUGCCAACGGCAUAGCUGGGUAGCUAUGUGUGGACGGGAUAAGUGCUGAAAGCAUCUAAGCAUGAAGCCCCCCUCAAGAUGAGAUUUCCCAACUUCGGUUAUAAGAUCCCUCAAAGAUGAUGAGGUUAAUAGGUUCGAGGUGGAAGCAUGGUGACAUGUGGAGCUGACGAAUACUAAUCGAUCGAAGACUUAAUCAA